rnacentral:rRNA from 1 species
CUACGGUGCUGAAGCAACAAAUGCCCUGCUUCCAGGAAAAGCCUCUAAGCCUCAGGUAACAUCAGAUCGUACCCGAAACCGACACAGGUGGUCAGGUAGAGAAUACCAAGGCGCUUGAGAGAACCCGGGUGAAGGAACUAGGCAAAAUGGUGCCGUAACUUCGGGAGAAGGCACGCUGACACGUAGGUGAAGCGGUUUACCCGUGGAGCUGAAGUCAGUCGAAGAUACCAGCUGGCUGCAACUGUUUAUUAAAAACACAGCACUGUGCAAACACGAAAGUGGACGUAUACGGUGUGACGCCUGCCCGGUGCCGGAAGGUUAAUUGAUGGGGUCAGCGCAAGCGAAGCUCCUGAUCGAAGCCCCGGUAAACGGCGGCCGUAACUAUAACGGUCCUAAGGUAGCGAAAUUCCUUGUCGGGUAAGUUCCGACCUGCACGAAUGGCGUAAUGAUGGCCAGGCUGUCUCCACCCGGGACUCAGUGAAAUUGAACUCGCUGUGAAGAUGCAGUGUACCCGCGGCAAGACGGAAAGACCCCGUGAACCUUUACUAUAGCUUGACACUGAACACUGGUCCUUGAUGUGCAGGAUAGGUGGGAGGCUUUGAAGUGUGGACGCCAGUCUGCAUGGAGCCGUCCUUGAAAUACCACCCUUUAAUGGCUGGUGUUCUAACGUAGACCCGUGAACCGGGUUGCGGACAGUGUCUGGUGGGUAGUUUGACUGGGGCGGUCUCCUCCUAAAGCGUAACGGAGGAGCACGAAGGUUGGCUAAUCCUGGUCGGACAUCAGGAGGUUAGUGCAAUGGCAUAAGCCAGCUUGACUGCGAGCGUGACGGCGCGAGCAGGUGCGAAAGCAGGUCAUAGUGAUCCGGUGGUUCUGAAUGGAAGGGCCAUCGCUCAACGGAUAAAAGGUACUCCGGGGAUAACAGGCUGAUACCGCCCAAGAGUUCAUAUCGACGGCGGUGUUUGGCACCUCGAUGUCGGCUCAUCACAUCCUGGGGCUGAAGUAGGUCCCAAGGGUAUGGCUGUUCGCCAUUUAAAGUGGUACGCGAGCUGGGUUUAGAACGUCGUGAGACAGUUCGGUCCCUAUCUGCCGUGGGCGCUGGAGAACUGAGGGGGGCUGCUCCUAGUACGAGAGGACCGGAGUGGACGCAUCACUGGUGUUCGGGUUGUCAUGCCAAUGGCACUGCCCGGUAGCUAAAUGCGGAAGAGAUAAGUGCUGAAAGCAUCUAAGCACGAAACUUGCCCCGAGAUGAGUUCUCCCUGAGACUACAAGUCUCCUGAAGGAACGUUGA